rnacentral:rRNA from 1 species
UACGGGGGGAGCAAGCGUUGUUCGGAUUUACUGGGCGUAAAGGGCGCGUAGGCGGCCAGCGCAAGUCGGAUGUGAAAUCUCGGAGCUUAACUCCGAAACUGCAUUGGAAACUACUUUGCUCGAGGGUUGGAGGGGGGACUGGAAUUCUCGGUGUAGCAGUGAAAUGCGUAGAUAUCGAGAGGAACACCAGUGGCGAAGGCGAGUCCCUGGACAACUCCUGACACUGAGGCACGAAAGCUAGGGGAGCAAACAGG